AGCCCUGCCAGCCCAGCCCAGGCUGGCCCAGCUUAGCCACACAUGCACCAUGAGGUACCCUUUGAUGCCGCUGGUGAACGACCUCACAUUUUCUUUCCUGGUUUUCUGGUUCUGCCUCCCUGUGGGUUUGCUGUUCUUAUUGAUCAUCUGGCUACGCUUCUUACUUAGCCAAGAUUCAGAGGAAAAUGACUCCGAUGUAUGCUUGGAUUGGGAGCCCUGGAGCAAAGGCCCGGCCGAGUUUUGCUGGAAGGGGACACUCCACGGCCAAGAGAAGGAGAGGCCCUGCUGGUGAGCCUGCUGUGCCAGGUGAGGCCCUUCCAUGGGCCAGGGGGAGCCUCAAGGCCCACCCAAAGUCUUGGGCAGCUGCUAUGUGGGCAAGAGGCUGCCUCUACCAUAUUAGAGUUUGGUUUUCCUGGAGUCAGCAGGGCAGUGGUAAUGGCGGAAGUGGAUGGGAGAGGCUUGCCAGGGAGGCAAGAGGACUUUGGCAACUGUGGUGCCUCCCUGGAACCCCCAACUCAUCUCCUCUUCAGACCGACAUGCGAAAGCCUCCAGAGGACCCAGCCCUUCUCCAGCAUCGCAGAUGACCUCCAGCCCUCCAGGAAGCCGCCCGAGUCUGGGAGGGCAUGGGAGCAGUGAACCGGCCCACUGGGAGAAAUUGGCCAAUUUAAUUCAGAGGGGUCUUAAAGCAGGGCUGGGCCGGAGGGUGUGGGUCCAUAUUAAAGAAGCGAGGGGCUUCCCAUGCCCGGGGGAACCCUGACAAACCUA